UACGGGGGGAGCAAGCGUUGUUCGGAUUUACUGGGCGUAAAGGGCGCGUAGGCGGCCUGUGCAAGUCAGUUGUGAAAUCUCCGAGCUUAACUCGGAACGGUCAACUGAUACUGCUCGGCUAGAGUGCGGAAGGGGCAACUGGAAUUCUUGGUGUAGCGGUGAAAUGCGUAGAUAUCAAGAGGAACACCUGCGGCGAAGGCGGGUUGCGGGGCCGACACUGACGCUGAGGCGCGAAAGCUAGGGGAGCGAACGGG
rnacentral:rRNA from 1 species